rnacentral:misc_RNA from 1 species
GAAAUGCGAUAAGUAAUGUGAAUUGCAGAAUUCAGUGAAUCAUCGAAUCUUUGAACGCACCUUGCGCUCCUUGGUAUUCCGAGGAGCAUGCCUGUUUGGGUGUCAUGGAAUUCUCAACUCUAUUUGCUUUUGUGAAUAGAGCUUGGAUUUGGAGGUUUAUUGCUGGUACUUGUGAUCGGCUCCUCUUGAAUGCAUUAGCUCGAACCUUUGCGGAUCAGCUAUCGGUGUGAUAAUUGUCUACGCCGUUGCAGUGAAGCAUAUCAAUGGGCUCGGCUUCCAAUCGUCCUUUACUGGACAAUGACUUUGACCUUUGACCUCAAAUCAGGUAGGAUUACCCGCUGAACUUAAGC